rnacentral:tRNA from 1 species
GGUCUGGUGGUCUAGCGGUAUGAUUCUCGCUUAGGGUUCACCCUACAGCAAUAUAUGCGAGAGGUCCCGGGUUCAAUCCCCGGCCAGACCC